AACAUAAUAAUUACAACUUUCAACAACGGAUCUCUUGGUUCUGGCAUCGAUGAAGAACGCAGCGAAAUGCGAUAAGUAGUGUGAAUUGCAGAAUUCAGUGAAUCAUCGAAUCUUUGAACGCACAUUGCGCCCUUUGGUAUUCCAAAGGGCAUG
rnacentral:rRNA from 10 species